GGGGCCGCUAUGCCAACCGUUUUUGCUUGUCCGGUGCCCCGAGAACAAUAAUAAUUUGAUUUGCAAAAAAAGUGUCAACCCUAGGGGCCGCUAUGCCAUUUUUCAUCGGGAUGUGCAUUGAUCCCGGUGCGGCUGUGCGGCGACGGGCUGGCGAGGGGCGCUGGGCCGGCGCGCCGUCCGCGGCUGAUUUAUAUAUAUAAAUCACGCCGCGCGACGCGCCGUGCCCAAGUGCCCCAAGUGCAAGUCAAGUGCGAGAAUGCGUGAUCUCGAUCUAUUCGUCACGCUGCAUGGCUUCAGUGUGCUCCCGAUCGGGCGCGCCAGUGGCCAUGCCUGCAAUCUGUGGUGUGUGCUCUUUUGCGCCCCAUACGUCUGUUGCAUGCCAACGGGAGCCCCCGUCCGCUUCCCUGCAUGUCAUUAUGCCUGUGAGUGCAUACCCGUGUGUCAGUAUGGUUCUCCGCACCAGCGUGCAGAGAGCGUGCACGCACGUAGAGGUGCUCCAACUUUUUGCCCCAAUAUUCGUGCCUCGCGGGUUCUUUUCAUCCCCAUCGUUACCUUGAUCCUCUGGCUUGACAGAUUUCGGACUUGUCUUAAUCUCCGUUACUGGUUAAUGCUACUGGAUAGGUUGGUGUGGUUGGGCUAGAGACCGUAUGCAGCACAUGAGUUGUAAUGGGUUUUUUGUUUUUAUUGGCUUGUUUUUGCUUUGGUUAUCAACGGUCAGUAUUACAGUCCUCUCACUGCCUCGCUCCUAAUGAAAUUUUUGAGAAACAUUGGAGCUCUAUAUGAGUUGCUUGCGACGUGAAACCCUAUAAAGGUGGCAUUUCUUUCGACAAUGCUCCGUGGUUGGUCUUCAUGCCUAUAUUAGAGGGCAUUGAGAGUGCUUCAUGGAAUAAGAUCCUUCCAACGCUUGUCUCGUGGAUUGUCUCUUAACAAUCCCUCGAUUCUUUGGCUGUGGAUGUAGGAUCUUCAUCAAUUUGUUGCAAAUGUGGCUGCUUUAAAACGUGUCUUGGUUUCCUUUGGCACCAUGCACGAAUCGGUUAGUUCAAGGUUUGCUGGUUGUGCCUUAUUCUCUGUGCGACUUUGUUUCUUUCCUCUCUUGCCAUGUAAAUGGUUUUGGGUGAGAACAUUGUUGUGUUGAGGUCGAGC
rnacentral:misc_RNA from 1 species